AGCCCCGCCCACCCGAGCCGCCCAAACCAACCGCUCGCCGGGGAGAAAAGGGAAGAAACGAAGGCCCGCUCGGGUCGCCGCAGAGAGAUAUACAUAGGUAAGAACAGGAAACCAUGUUUCAAGAAUUACAAUUGCCAGUCUGCUCUGACAGGUCUGUGAGGAAACCUGGGAUUCCAUCAAUUUGCAAAACAAGAAAGCAAGCAAUUUUGUAUCAAUUAAUGUAGAAUGAUAUAAAACAUAUUAAAAUAUGUCACUUUGGUGUGGGUGCGUGGGUGUUAUUUAACAAUUAUUCUUAUACUUUAAAAAAUAAAAACAAAAAGUUAAAAAAUGCAGAUCUGUCUUGCUGACCUUCAAGUGAAUUUUGCAUAACCUUCAACAGAAUUCUGCUUGAAUCAGUUAGAAAUUGUUGAAAGUGCGUCUCAGGUGAACAAAGUUGUUGCCUUUUCUAAACCUAGGAGUUGUAUCACUGGAAAAAUUCAUCACUGUGAUUCUAAGGCAAGUGUGAGAUGUCUGACUCAUUCUCCAGAUCAGGUCUCUUUCAUUUAAACUAUGCCAUCUUUCUACCUAAAGUCUCCAGCUCAGCCCUUCACCAGCCUGGUGCCUUCCAGAUUUUUGGGACUACAGUUCUCAUCAGCCCCAGCCAGUUGAGUUGUAGUCCAAAACAUCUGGUGUGAAAACAAAUUUGGAAAUACAA